UCAAGCCUCCUGAUGACUUUCCUGGUCAUGCAGGCUUCAAAUGAAGAUCCUGAUAUCAGCCUCCUGAGUAGCUAGGAUUACAGGCAUGAGUCAC